UGUAGGGUGGCUGAGUCUAAAGGCGAUGGGCUGUAGUCCUAUUUACGGGCUAAAUGCCCCCCUAUAA
rnacentral:tRNA from 1 species